UCAUGAUUUGCUAGCAAAAAUAUUUUAAUCCAAAUUUGAGCAAUUGAAGGAUGAUGUGAUUAACAAAGGGAUUUUAGGAAAAAAUAAAAGUUACAUAUACGUAACUGAGUUUUAGAAACAUGGACUGCCACAUGUGCAUAUGUUGUUGAUUUUGGACAAUAAGGACAAAUUAUGUGACCUAGAAGAGUACGAAAGUGUGGUUACAACAAAAAUAUCAAAGAUAGAAUCAUAAUCAUAAUUACAUGAGACAGUACUAAAACACAUGAUUCAUAGACCUUGUAGUAGACUCAACCAUAAUUCUCCAUGCAUGAAUAAUGGAGAAUUAUCCAAAGGAACAAUUGGAAGAGACACAACAAGCCAAUGACUCAUAUCCACAAUAUGGAAGAAGGUUUGAUGAACCUACAUCUAUAAAUAGAAACAAGUUAGUUGACAAUAGAUGGGUUGUUCCUUAUAACCCUUGGCUAUUGUUAAAAUAUGAUUGUCACAUCAAUGUGCAGGUUUGCAGUAGCAUCAAAAGCAUAAAGUAUACAUGCAAGUAUGUUUACAAAAGCUCUAGUCGAGUUGCAAUAGAGGUUCAUAAAGGGUCAAGUAUGAAUGAGAUAUAACAAUAUGUUGAUGCAAGAUAGAUUUGUGCACCGAAUACCUUAUGGAAAAUAUUUUGAUUCACUAUUUACCAUUUAUAUCCCUUUGUUGAAAGAUAAAAAAUCCACAUAUAGAAUCAUUAUCAUGUACAAUUUUUUAAUCAACAAAGAAUUGCAAAUAUAUAUAAAUAAUGACAAAAACUCCAAAGCAAUGCUCACACAAUUCGUUGCACUAAAUCAAACAGAUAUAAAAGCUAGAAAUUAUUUGUACAAACAGAUUCAUGACUAUUAUUAAUGGAACCAGAGGAAUAAGGAAUGGUGUUGAAUGCAAUUAAAGAGAAAAGUUUUUGGUCGGAUCUAUACAAUAUCACCUUCAGAAGGAGAAACAUUUUAUUUGUGUGUUUUGUUGUCUCAUGUCAGAGGAUCAACUAAUUGGGGAUAUCUUCUUACAAAUAACAAUAAUUGAUUUCCUACAUUCAAACAAGCAGCGAAGGGUAUCUAAAGACUGAUAAAAAUAUUCAUGAAUGCUUAGUUGAGGCAUCAAAUUACUGAAAGUCAUAUACCAUAAGGAGAUUGUUUGUGACUAUAUUAGUUUUUUGUGCACCAACAAAUAUUACAUGACUUUUAAAUGACUUUUACUCUCACAUGAUAUAAGAUCAUUAAUCGACAAAUAUAGUCAUAGGAUCAAGUUUAACUAAUAUGUUAUUGAGGGAUUUGAACGUGUUCUUGGUUCCAUUUGAAAAGUCCAUAAAAAAUAUGAUAUCCCACCAUUGCAAAAGGUAACUACAGAAGAUAACACACUGUCAAGGGUUGUAGAAGAAGAAUUAUCAAUCUAAAUUUCCAAUGAAGAAAUGGAGUCUAUUAAUAAGUUAAAUAAUGAUCAGACGAUAACUUUUAGAAUCAUUGUGAAUGUUAUACUUACCCCAAAAAAUGAUGAUGUAAAAAAAUUGAAUGAUAUAAUUAUCAAUCAAUUUUCUAUAGAAGAACAAAAUUUGCUAUCGUUUGAUAGGGACACCCACAACUGAUAUCUACAAGAAUUCUUAAACUCAAUUGAUCAAGGUAGUUUGCCAACACAUAUUUUAAAAGUCAAGAGAGGUGCACCAUUUAUGUUGGUG
rnacentral:lncRNA from 1 species